AUUGAACGCUGGCGGCAUGCUUUACACAUGCAAGUCGAACGGUAACAGGCCGCAAGGUGCUGACGAGUGGCGAACGGGUGAGUAAUGCAUCGGAACGUGCCCAGUCGUGGGGGAUAACGCAGCGAAAGCUGCGCUAAUACCGCAUACGAUCUAUGGAUGAAAGCGGGGGACCGUAAGGCCUCGCGCGAUUGGAGCGGCCGAUGUCAGAUUAGGUAGUUGGUGGGGUAAAGGCUCACCAAGCCAACGAUCUGUAGCUGGUCUGAGAGGACGACCAGCCACACUGGGACUGAGACACGGCCCAGACUCCUACGGGAGGCAGCAGUGGGGAAUUUUGGACAAUGGGCGCAAGCAUGAUCCAGCAAUGCCGCGUGCAGGAAGAAGGCCUUCGGGUUGUAAACUGCUUUUGUACGGAACGAAACGGCUCUCACUAAUACUGGGGGCUAAUGACGGUACCGUAAGAAUAAGCACCGGCUAACUACGUGCCAGCCGCCGCCGUAAUAC
rnacentral:rRNA from 1 species